AUCAGUUCAUGGACAUCACGAUAGUCCCGUACGUUGCAGCUAUUCUUCAGUUCUACUCUCAUUCCUUUGAGGAACCGGCGGAUUAUUAUCACUCAGGUAGUGACCCGCAAAUCUUCGAAGUCGGUUGAACUCAUCUCCGUAGUCUCGUACUUUCCUUAUCCCCUGACGGAUGUCCUGAAACUUGCUUUCCAUUGCGUCCAUGGCUUCUAAGGGAAAAUACUUCCCAUUGAAUGCUUCCAAAAAAUCAUCCCAGGUCAGUCGUAUCCUGUGUGGCCUUUCGACCACUUCGUCCCACCACACUAGCGCGUCGUCCUUAAGAUAGUGGGCAGCCAGGUCCCUACGGAACUCCGGUGGGCACCUUGCAGAAGCGAAGUUCCUCUCGAGUUGACGUCUCCAGUUAUCCGCGACAAUUGCGUCGGCCUUUCCAUUGAAAAACUCCGUCUGCAUACUCUUCAUGUGUCUCAGAAUGUCCCAGUAGUUGGGACCUGGGGCGUGCACCACUGCAGGCGCUGCCGGGGGUGGUGGCCGUGGUGGCGGAUUCUGGCCCGCCCCAGGCGGUAUGGGGUUGUCCCCCGCCUCUGCAGCGGCUUCACCAUUGGGCAAUUGACCCCCAUAGGCGUCACGGUAUCUUUGUAGUUCUGCCAGGAGUGCUGCAUUCACUGCGUUCAGCAUUUCCACUGGGUUCCCAUUCUCGGGUGCGCCCUCUCUUCGGCUUUCUGCCUUGCUGGAGGCCUGAGACGUAGACCUGGUGACCCGUCGUGUCGCUCUCUGGACGGCCGCAGCUGGCCUUGCAACUCUUGCAUUCUUGGGAGGCAUCCUGUUGACAAGCGAGGGAGUAUUAGCCACGGUUCUACUCAAAUUCUAUUGUCCACCGAGUAAGCUAGGAGUUCCAUCCGAGUGGUUCGUUUUUUUUUUUUUUUUUUUUGAAACCCUUUUGGAAACACUUAGAAAAAUAUUCGGAAGAAGUUCUUUUGAAACCCGGUUUUUACCUACUUCUACCCGGCUUUUUCCCUACCCACCCGGGACAGCACCGGGUGGGUUUAACCCGCUCUGAUACCAAUUGUAACGGCCCUGGCCCAAUGAUCCUUAUCAGAUACCGUAACCCAAACCUUUUCGUUCAAAACCUCUUAUUAAAACUCAAAUUGUCUUACAUAAAACCGAACUCAACUAAAAACUGAAAUGUCAAAUGAAAACUUAAGGAAAAAUGUUUAAAAAGAAAGGAGUCAUAAAAGAAAGACUCGAGAAACUUGCACCAUACGGACAUCUACUCCCGCUCCCUCUCGGCCAUACAUGUAAAAAAAGGGUGAGUACAGAAUACUCAGUGAGGGCAGGUUCUGGGAACCCACGAUCUCAACUCAGGAAGAGCAAACAAUCACAAGUCAUGAGCUAAUAAGAUCUAUUACACAGAAACCCAACUAGCUAAGAUGAUUGAUAGGCAUAUUCGUAACUGGUGCUUAACGGUAUCUGCGACGGGCCAUCAAAAUUAUGAAGCUCUGCUGCAGCUUUGAUUUGCUUCAAGGGUUUAGACGCUGUUUUUGUUUAAUUGUUAUAUUUUUCUGGUUUCUAGAAAAUCAAUUAGGUCCAACACGAUACAUUUGAUGUACACAAGUUAGUUUUCUUUUUAAUGAAUUUUACAUAUAUUGAAAAAAAGAUAUGAAAUUUCUUCACCAAAUCAAAGUCUUUGUGGGUGGCAUGGGUUAAGAAUCAUAAUGUUCCAAAAAAAAAAAGAGAGCUUCUAUCUCACAGUAGCGUUGAACUGUUUUUCGAUAGCGAUUAGAAGUAUGCUUCAGCUCAAAUGUGUUUUAUUAGAUACACUAGGAGCAUUGUCCCUGCGCAAGCGCCGGGUUGUAGACAGAAUUCUUGUUUCAUCUCAAUAUUUGCUAGGGUUAUUGUAGUUGUGAAUUUUGCGUUUUGAGUUGUUUUUCAAGUUUUUUUUAUUGUUAUAGGGUUAGAAUUGUGAUGAUGAACUGUGUAUGCAUUGUUGUCCACUUAUGAAGGACUAAACUGUGUUAGUAAUGUGAUUGAUAUAGUUUGUGUUGUUGUUUGUUGUGUCACUGAGACUUAUUGUUUGUUUGUCUUUUUAAUUUGUUUAUUGACUUGUUGACAGUACAUAAAUUAUAUUAAAGUUAUGGAGAGUACUUUUUUGUUUCUGGAUAUUUUUUUCUCCAGUUUAGUUGUGUAAGUUGUGUGUAUUAAGAAAUAAUUUUUAUUAUCCUUAUUAUGUUUGUUAUAUUUUUUUGUUUUAUUUUUAAACUGAGCUAAAAUUAUUUUUUUCUUUUAAAAUCUAAAUAUCCGAACCCGAUUCAAAAUAACUGAACCCGAACUAAAAAUACCCGAACCCGACCCGAAGUAUAGAAAUACAUGAACGGGUUCUCUAUCCUUAUACCGAAAUACCCGAAAAUCCGAAAUACCCGAUCCGAACCCGAACGGGUAUCCGAACGCCCACCCCUAUCCUAAACGCUAAAAAUGACCAAAAUCAAUAGCUAAAAACAUGUAAAAAUGCUAUACAUCAUCUGGUCAUGUAGAAAUCCUCACUAAUUUGAUGCGGAUAAUAUCAGAUAUGAUUAUUAUACAUAAAGGACACAAUCUCUUAAAUGUAGUUCGUUGUUUGAGCUAAAACCUCUUGUGUUUUUUUUUACACUUUUUGCAGAUUUCUUGGAACUUCAGGUCAGAUCAUCCCUGACAAGCAUUCAGAGGUUGAGAGCAAGCUGGAUUUUGUCAAACGAACGCUGAGGUGGAGACAUCUUACUCCCACUGCACCUAAUACACGUUGAGAAUUCACCUCCUCCUGGCAAAAUAUACAUUUCGAACAAAGUUCCAUUUUGGAGUCUAUUUGUUUGAUUUAUUUAUUUACAGGUUGUUAUUCUUUCACCGAUCUAGACCUUUCCAUGAUUUAAACUUGCCCUCAUGUCUACUUCGUUUGGAAUCAAGAGAAAUAUGACAACCUUUUGGUAAAAUGGUCAGAAGGUCAGCUGGUCAGGUUGACAUCUGAGUUGCUGUUGCAGCGAGUUGAAAUUUAAGCAGACAUCAUCCUCACUGGAGCUCCAUUUUUCUUUCAUAUCUCAAAGUCACCAAUUGUUUUUUUUUUUGGCAGGUGAACCUAAGGAAUCUGAAGUCACAUCUUUUUUUUUUCACUGAAAUUUUCAUUACUACCAUAAAAAAAAAUACAUCGGUGAAAUACUGAAGCCGGCGGAAAACGUAGAAAUCUCCGGAAACUAAACCCAAACACGGGAAGCUAUAACCCAAACAGACGGGUCUUGUUCAAACUACCGAAACAUCACCUAAACCAUUACAUUCCCUCAAAAACCCAAAAGUUAAACAACAUUGGAUAACAGAACAAAGACUUAAUUGUCUAUGACUAGCCGGAGAUCUUACUACGAACUGAGCAAGCGAGCACACAAAGUUUGUGAAGGAGAGCAGAACCUCAUCUGAACCUCCUGUUCAAGAUGACAACACCAAACCACAAAAACCUCAUCUGAACCUCCUGUCCAAGAUGACAACACCAGAGCACAAAGACCUCAUCUGAAUCACUUGUUCACGAUGACAACAACCAAACCACAACACUCCAUAGGCCAAACAUAAAACCAGAGGGAACCACACCUGUAAAAUUUCAUCUUCAAUCGCCCCUUCAUCUGGACACCUCCACACUUCAACCUCAUUUUAUUGCUUCACGAGUUGAAGCAACCGAGGAAGAACGACCAAAGGCAAACCAGGAACAACACUUAUUCAAAGGGCGAGAAUAUGAUACCUUUAAAACACGGCAGGUGAAGAGAAGAACUGAACUUGUCUUCAUCUCAAACCCCUAAAACCUUCAACUGCUCCUCACAACACCACCUCACUGCUUCACCGUUGCAGAACCAAAGACCAACCAAGACCAACUCUAAAAUCCAAGACAGGUUAACCGGGUUCAACCCCUAACAAAGAGUUGCAACACUACCCAAAACCGAUUGUAGACACAACGGCCACAUCACAACAGAGACACCAAGGCUCAGAUUUUUACCUCGCUAGGAGACGCAGAUGGAGGCCGGAGAAGGGACCAACCCUUAACCACCACCGACAAACACCACUCUACGCACCCAGAACUACAAGAGGUUUACAGAUCUGAGAAACCAAAAGCUCUUACAGAGUAUAUUCAGCACACGGGCAAAUGGAGCAGCUCUAAAAGAAAGAGGAGAAGAGAUCUAAGAGAGGAAAGGGAGAAAAUACAGCUUUCAAGAUCAGAUCCGGCGACCGCGAGGGAUGACGGCCGCCGAGCUAGGGUUCUAUCACGAGAGCGUUUCAGAAGUUUUUUUUUUAGACUUUGUGAUGUGUCACAUUCGUAGCUUUAACAUCCAGUUAUAAAGUUAAUCACAACACUGAGUUGCUACCUUUGGUACACUCCCCAAGUCCUACCAGACAGAUGUAUGUAUUUUCUUAAGAAAUACUUUUUCAAAUCUUUGGAAGGUAAAAAUAAGUCCUACUAAUUCUAACAACGUCCAAACACGGCGCUAUGCACCGGAAUGCCCUAAUAUAAAAAUAUCUUAGAAAAUUUACCUCAAUAGAAAAUAAUGUGUUAUGUAUGGUUAGUAAUUAAUUACAUUUUGAUAUGUAUCUUCGUUAAAUAUAUUAUUAUAUAUUGAUGAUCAAACUUUUUUUAUCAAAAUUUGGGUAUUUAUAAUUUUAAUUUUUUUAAAGUAUUAAAUGGAUCCAUAAUUAUUAUGUUUUCACGUACUCUUAACCUUUUUGUAACGAACAUACUCUUACUAUUUAUGUAAUAUAUUCAUCAUAGAUGUUUAUAAUUUUAAAAAAAGGUAUUUAUAUAAUCAUCAUACUAAAGCUAUAUCAAAAAUUAAAACAUUGCCAAAUUAUAUUAUCAAUAUAAAUAGACUGUACAUACCUUGUAAUAGUUAGUAAAUUUUGUAAUAUUAUUAUAUAGAAUUGUAUGGCAAUACUCAUCUGAAGUUAACAAGUGUAUAACUAAUAAUUAGAAGAAGGUUAUAUAUUCGAUAAGAAAGUCCAUAUAAUAGGAUACAACUAAUAGUUAAUUGAUAUAAGUUAUGUAAAAAUUUGACUAAAAACGGGAUUUUUUUAAUGUAAGAUUGUUGUGAGUUAUUCUUGGGUUCACCCCUAGGGUGACAAAAUAGUUAAUUGACAAAAUGGCCGAUUUUUUUUAUUAUUUCAAAUUCGAUAUCUUUUAAAAAAGAAAAUAAAAUAUUGUCAAGUUAUAUUAUGUUUUUUAAAUAAAAACUUAAAAACAAUAGUAGUUACAAAAGAAAAGAAUUUUUUUAAAAAAUAUUGUUAACGUCGUCAGCAAAACACUAAACCCUAAAUCCUAACCCCUAAACCCUAAAUCCGAAACUCUAAACCCUUGGGUAAACCCUAAACCCUUGGAUAAAUCAUAAACUCUAAAUUAAAAACACUAAAAUCCUAAACCCUUGAGUGUUUUAGUAUUUAGUGUUUUUGAUUUAGAAUUUAUGAUUUAUCCAAGGGUUUAAGGUUUCGUAUUUAGGGUUUAGGGAUUAGGAUUUUGGCUUAGUUUUUUCCUGACGACAUAAAAAAUAUUUUUUUUUUGUAAUUACUACUAUUUUUAUUUUUUAUUUUUUUAUCUUUUUAUUUUAAAAACAUAAUAUAACUUGACAAUAUUUUGUUUCCUUUUAUAAAAGAUAUCAAAUUUGAAAUAACAUAAUCUUAUUGUUUGGUGAACCUAGAGAUUCACCCUAGGGGGUGAACCCAAGAAUAAGUCGUUGUUGUAUGCAAUUUGUUACGCUAGUGGGUUCCGUGACUGGAGGCUUGAUUAGAUAUUUAACAAUAAUUAAUAUAGGGUAUAUCAAAUUAUCUUACUAUAUAUUAAUUGAAAAAUCACUUUAUUGAUUUUUACUUACGUAUCGAUCAUAAGUGAACUCUUACAAAAUUGUUAUAAUUUGAUUGAUCGAUGAUUUUUAAUUUUUAUUUAUUUUAAUUAGAUCUAAAAAGAAAAAGUAAGUCUAACACCAAUUAAUAUCACUUGCCAAAUAAAAUACAAAAUAUUACAAAUAAUGAUUUAUGGUAACUAAUUGUUGAAAUUAUAGAAAGAGAAAUUAAUUGAUCCUUUUUAUAUUAAAAAAAUACAUAAAAUAAUAAAUGACAACCGUUUAUAUAAAUCAAUAUAAUCAUUUUAUAUUCGUAUUUAAAAGCAUUAUAUUUUAUAAAAAUUAUCAUAAUAACUGUUAACAUCUUCUAAAGUUCAUAUUAUAUGCUUUAUAAAUCAUCUAUAAAAACAUUUAUCAAAUUAUUUAUUUUGGCUUAUUGUAUAUUUUAAAUUAUUAUAAGAGCUUGUAAAUCAUCUAUAAGAGCUUAAAAUCAAAGCUAUAUAUCCUACUAUAUAUUAAUUUAAAAGUCAUUUAAGAUAUUUUUGUUUAUGUGUCGAUCAUUUAUGAAAUCUUAAAAAACUGUUAUUAAUUGAUCUACAUAAUAUUACAAAUAAGUCUAUAAACAGUAAAUAUGUAUCACUUGCCAAACAAUCUAUAUAAUAUUAUAAAUAAUUACUUAUGAUAACUAAUUGUUGAAACUAUAGAAAAAGUAAUAAUGUUUGAUCGAUUUUUAUAUAUUUAUAAACUACAAAAAUAGUAAACAAAAAGGUUUAUUAAAGUCGAUAUAAUGAUUUCAUAUUUUUAUAUAAAGCAUUAUAUUUGUAUAUGACCUUAUAUUGUAUAUAAAGAACUAUAAUAACUAUUAAUAUCUAAUAAAAUUCAUACAUGCUAUAUAAAUCAUUUAUAAAAAUUAUAAAUAAAUUUAUAAAAUUAUUUAUCUUGGCUUAUCAUAUGUUUUAAAUUAUGAUAAGAGGUUUUAAUUUAUUUAUACAAGCUUAUAAAUUAAUUUAUAAAAUAUAUUUUUAAAUUUUAUUUUAUAUUAAAUGAUAAAUAACUUAAUUGAUUUUUUCUUUGGUGUUAAUCAUAUGUAGAGUUUGAGAAAAAAUAUAUUAUAAUUUGAUUUGUUAAUGGAUUUUAAUUUUUAUUUAUUUUAUGAGUACAAAAAUUAGUUCUAGAAUUAGUUAUUUGCACAAAAUAAUUUAUGGUAAUUAAAUAUAUGAUUUAUAUAAUAUAUAUAAUGCUUCAUAAAAUAAUUUUUAGCAAUCAAAUAUUUCUAAACUAUAUAAAAUAUUUCAAAAGUUUCAGUGUUAUAUACCUUCAAAACUUAAGCAAAUUUAUUAAAAACUGAAUCAUGAAUAUUAUGCAUAACUAAUUUUAGUAUAGUUAUCAAUACAAAAUAUCAAAAACUAUUUAAAAUAGUCUUGUUUUUUUAACAAUUAUUCUUAGAAAAAAUAUUUAACAAAAAUACAUAAUGAUAAAACCAUAUUUUAAUUUGAAAAAUUAUAAUAAAUAUAUUGUUACAAAACAUUCAAACCCGCGAAACCACGUGCAUCCACCUAGUAGAAACUUAAAUAAAAUUGCUAACGGUCCAAUUAUGACUUUUUGUCAGGAGAUAAAAAUUACAUAUGUUUUAAUAGUAUUGAUAUGAAAACUUAACAUUAAUGAUUUCAGAGUGUUUUCACAAAACGAGAACAUAUAAAAUUAGCGCAAAUCUUUUUUUUUUUACAACAUUAAGCUAAACUACGAAAUAAAUCUCCGGAUUCGAAAAGUCAAACCAUAAGGGAGUAAUUGACAUAAAAUAUAGUUGAAGGAGAACUACUCACACUCUGUGCAAGGUUGUCCGCCAAAGUAUUUCGUGUUUUGGAGAUAUGUCUGAUCUUGAAUGUAGAGAAGAAAGUCUUAUUCAUCGAAAUUUUUCUAUAUGUGUAGAGAAAACAGCCAGUCUUCAGUUGUCGACACUAUCUUCAGAAAUUGAGAACAAUCUGUUUGCAAAAACUACAUCUGAGAACAUGAGGGUCUUUAUGCAUUCCAUAAGCAAAUCAGGGCUUCACAUAAUUCAUCAUGUAAAGGUGAUAGACUUCACAGGAGAUUCAUCACAUCACCAGAUCAUAUGUUUCUACAGAACCAGUCCUACGGAAUCUGAAGUCACAUUCAUGCUCCCUCGAAGCACCAUCUACAUAGCAAUGUCAGGCAUGCCCCAAAUAUUAAUAGUUAAUAACCGGCAGGACCGUCGGGAGAGUAUCCUUAACCCAAAGUUGCACCUCAGCCCACAGCGCCCCUUCUAUCUCAGCUACACGCAGAAUUUUCUGCUGGAUUUCAAUUCUUAUUCUAUAAAUCUUAUCAUUUCGUUUCAUCCAAAUGUACCAUAAUACCCACGGAAAGUAACUAAAUUCAUCGUCCUUCAAAAAUCUUCAAAACAAAUAAUCCAUGCUUGUAAAACUGAAGAUGGUGGAAAGAUUCAUGGACGUGAUGAGAUUCAUGAGAGUUCCAAAGUUUGUAGUAUUGGUGGGUAUUCGAAGAAAACAUGGUUAAUGGUCUCUUCCUACGCUCCACAAAUACUACACCUCAAAUCGCACUUAAUCCCUCGUGCCCUCAGAUUCUUCGAAAUCGGGAGAAUCUUAUAUACCACUUGCCAAACAAAGUGUCACAAUUUUGGAGAACUCUGCAAUUUCCAUGAAAAGGCCAACAAGAAUUUGGUGUCCUAAGUUAAGGCUGUUAUCUGAGUAUAGGUACUCCGUUUUAUAUCCUGAUUUAAGUUACCAGAUUUUGUGAACAUCCACCCACAAGCAAUUUGUCUAAUAUUCCUACUAAUCGUCAUGUUGUUGACGAUCUUCACAUCAUCAUGAUGAAUAUGAGCAUUGAAAAAAUUUACAUGCCAAGAACGAUCAACCGGGUUAAUAAGGUGGAAAGGUGUUCUACUGUUAAAUAAUGAUUAAGAAACUGAUUAAGAUUUUUUGUUAAUGCUGACCUCGGGCCUCAGGCGAGGAAUGGGGAUCCAAAGAUCAUUACAUACUGAAAUGGAAUUAUCUUUUCUCACACUUUUGAUUAGCUUUUUAUUGAUCAGAGAUCUAGCUGAAUAGAUACUUCUCCAUCCAUAAGAUGAUGAAAUAAGAUCUGGGGUGAUUCAAAGGAUAUGUAUUCCGAAAAUAUCUUUCUUUAAAAACUUUUGAACACAAACAGUUUGAUUUGUCUAAAAUUAAGUCUAUGUUAAAAUUUUGAGGUCCCUAAAACUCAAGCCUCUUUCUUUUUUUUUAUGUGUAUAAAUGUUAUCCUUUGGAUACGAAUGGAUAUUUUUUUAUUUCCACUGUUGCUCCACCAAAAAUGUGCAACGGUACUCGUAAUUUUUCUUAAUGUGAUUCUUUUAGAAAAAAAAGAAAACAUGACAUGACAUGUGUUGGCAUCGGCGAAAUUACUGAUUAUAUCAAUACUUCUUUAUCCCAUUUUGUGAAAAACCUAACUGUUCAUCUAUUCACUUUACUAGGGGCAUUGUCCCCGCGCAAGCGCGGAGUUGUGGACAGAGUUCUUGUUUCAUCUCAAUAUUUGUUAGGGUUAUUGUAGCUGUGAAUUUUAUGUUUUGGGUUGAUCAUUGUUUUUCAAGUUUUUUUAUUGUUAUAAGGUUAGAGUUGUGAUGAUAAACUGUGUAUGCAUUGUUCUCCACUUACUAAGGACUAAAUUGUGUUAGUAAUGUGAUUGAUAUAGUUCGUGAUGUUUCUUGAUAUGUUACUUAGACUUAUUGUUUGUUUGUUUUUUUUUUUAAUUUGUUACUUGUACUGUUGAGAUUACAUAGAUUAUAUUAAGGUUGUUGAAAGUACCUUUUGUUUAUUGAUAUUUUUUCUCCAGUUUAGUUGUGUAAGUUGUGUGUAUUAAGUAAUAAUUUUUUUUGUUCUUAUUAUUUUGGUUAUAUUUUUAUUUUAUUUUUAAACUUGUUGCUUUUACCGGACCUUUAAAACAAAUAUAUGAAGACUUGUAAAAAUAACUAUAAAAUGAGUGACAAUUAGUAUUUGGGCUUUAAUGGAUUUUAAACAAAUAUAUGUAUUUCUCAUAAGAAGACAAUACCAUUGGCAUGUUGACAUUGAGCAUGUAAGCUAUUUUCAUAAGACAAGAGGAGUGCGCAGGUGGAGAUGUUGUUGCCGCUUUUGUGUCUGUUGGGAUUGUCUCUUGUAUCUCCUGGUGUGGCUGUGUUUGUUUUUCUGUUAUUUGAUGGGUAAUAUGUAAACAAAAUCAUUGUUAGUUGUAUUUAUCAGAGUUUG